AGCGGCCCCACACUUCUGCAUACGACUCUGUAAAGAGAUCUGAGACGUUUUCUUCACUAAUGCAGUCUUGCAGACAGCUGUACGGCAUCCUGUGGGGUAAACGUAUCAGAUAUGACUUGGUCUUCAGUGAUUUUACCACACAUGAAAUGAGCUGGCGCUGAUUGUGUCAAAUUGCUACGUACAGAAGCUUUCUAAAGAG